CUGCCUCCCCUGACAGACCUAGAACAACCUGCAGUUGUUCUCUUGGUUUGAAGUAGGAUGCGAAGAGAAAAGUCCCUGAACUUUCUGUCUGUGUGGCAGUCCAGACUGAAUGGGGAAACAGCU